UGUGUGUGUGUGUGUGUGUGUGUGUGUGUUUGUGUGCAUAUGUAUACACACACACACACACACACAUAUAUACACG